rnacentral:rRNA from 1 species
UCGCACCUACCGAUUGAAUGGUCCGGUGAAGCCUCGAGAUUGUGGCCAGUUCCCUUUAUUGGGAGUUCGUCGCGAGAACCUGUCUAAACCUUAUCAUUUAGAGGAAGGUG